UACGGAGGAUCCGAGCGUUAUCCGGAUUUAUUGGGUUUAAAGGGUGCGUAGGUGGAUUGGUAAGUCAGUGGUGAAAGUUUGCAGCUUAACUGUAAAAUUGCCGUUGAAACUGCCGGUCUUGAGUGCAAAUGAGGUAGGAGGAAUGCGUCGUGUAGCGGUGAAAUGCUUAGAUAUGACGCAGAACUCCGAUUGCGAAGGCAGCUUACUGGGAUGCAACUGACGCUGAGGCACGAAAGCGUGGGUAUCAAACAGGAUUAGAUA
rnacentral:rRNA from 1 species